rnacentral:rRNA from 1 species
AUUGAACGCUGGCGGCAGGCCUAACACAUGCAAGUCGAGCGGAGCGGCGGACGGGUGAGUAAUGCCUAGGAAUCUGCCUGGUAGUGGGGGAUAACGUCCGGAAACGGGCGCUAAUACCGCAUACUAUCAGAUGAGACUAGGUCGGAUUAGCUAGUUGGUGGGGUAAAGGCCUACCAAGGCGACGAUCCGUAACUGGUCUGAGAGGAUGAUCAGUCACACUGGAACUGAGACACGGUCCAGACUCCUACGGGAGGCAGCGGUUGGAAAUAUUGGCCAAUGGGCGAAAGCCUGAUCCAGACAUGCCGCGUGAGUGAUGACGGCCUUUGGGUUGUAAAGCUCUGUUAAUCGGGACGCGGUACCGGAAUAGAAAGCCACGGCUAACUACGUGCCAGCAGCCGCGGUAAUAC